UUUUAGAGUUUGAUUCCCAUGGCUCAGGAUGAACGCUAGCGGCAGGCUUAACACAUGCAAGUCGAGGGGUAUUUAUCUUCGGAUAGAGAGACCGGCGCACGGGUGCGUAACGCGUAUGCAAUCUACCUUUUACAGAGGGAUAGCCCAGAGAAAUUUGGAUUAAUACCUCAUAGUAUUAUGAAAUGGCAUCAUUUUAUAAUUAAAGUCACAACGGUAAAAGAUGAGCAUGCGUCCCAUUAGCUAGUUGGUAAGGUAACGGCUUACCAAGGCUACGAUGGGUAGGGGUCCUGAGAGGGAGAUCCCCCACACUGGUACUGAGACACGGACCAGACUCCUACGGGAGGCAGCAGUGAGGAAUAUUGGACAAUGGGCGCAAGCCUGAUCCAGCCAUGCCGCGUGCAGGAUGACGGUCCUAUGGAUUGUAAACUGCUUUUAUGAAGAAGAAACACUACUUCGUGAAGUAGC
rnacentral:rRNA from 1 species